AGAGUUUGAUCCUGGCUCAGGAUGAACGCUGGCGGCAUGCCUAACACAUGCAAGUCGAACGGAGUUAUCGAUUUCGGUUGGUAACUUAGUGGCGGACGGGUGAGUAACGCGUGAGGAACCUGCCCUUCAGUGGGGAAUAACAGCCGGAAACGACUGCUAAUACCGCAUAACGUCAUCGGAUCGCAUGAUCUGGUGACCAAAGGAUUUAUUCGCUGAAGGAUGGCCUCGCGUCCGAUUAGGCAGUUGGUGAGGUAACGGCCCACCAAACCUACGAUCGGUAGCCGAACUGAGAGGUUGAUCGGCCACAUUGGGACUGAGACACGGCCCAGACUCCUACGGGAGGCAGCAGUGGGGAAUAUUGGGCAAUGGGCGAAAGCCUGACCCAGCAACGCCGCGUGAAGGAAGACGGUCUUCGGAUUGUAAACUUCUUUGAUUGGGGAAGAGCACAAUGACCUACCCAAAGAACAAGUCACGGCUAACUACGUGCCAGCAGCCGCGGUAAUACGUAGGUGACAAGCGUUAUCCGGAUUUACUGGGCGUAAAGGGCGUGUAGGCGGCCUUGCAAGUCAGAAGUGAAAUUCUCGGGCUCAACCCGGGCGCUGCUUCUGAAACUGUAGGGCUUGAGUGCUGGAGGGGAUAGCGGAAUUCCUAGUGGAGCGGUGAAAUGCAUAGAUAUCGCGCAGAACUCCGAUCGCGAAGGCAGCGUGCCGGCUCCUCACUGACGCUGAAGCACGAAAGCGUGGGGAUCGAACAGGAUUAGAUACCCUGGUAGUCCACGCAGUAAACGAUGAGCACUAGGGUGUGCGGCCGGUUAGGGCAGCGUGCCACAGCGAAAGCGUUAAGUGCUCCACCUGGGGAGUACGCCGGCAACGGUGAAACUCAAAGGAAUUGACGGGGGCCCGCACAAGCGGAGGAACAUGUGGUUUAAUUCGAUGAUACGCGAGGAACCUUACCCGGGCUCGAACGGCGGGGGACGGGCACUGAAAAGUGCCUUCACGCGAGUGUCCCCGCCGAGGUGCUGCAUGGUUGUCGUCAGCUCGUGCCGUGAGGUGUCGGCUUAAGUGCCAUAACGAGCGCAACCCCCGCCGGCAGUUGCUAACGGGCAAUGCCGAGGACUCUGCCGGGACUGCCGGCGCAAGCCGCGAGGAAGGCGGGGAUGACGUCAAAUCAGCACGGCCCUUACGUCCGGGGCGACACACGUGUUACAAUGGCGGGUACAGCGGGAAGCGACCGUGCGAGCGGGAGCGGAGCCCGAAAACCCGUCUCAGUUCGGAUAGGAGUCUGCAACCCGACUCCGUGAAGCUGGAUUCGCUAGUAAUCGCGCAUCAGCCAUGGCGCGGUGAAUACGAAGCCGGGCCUUGCAC
rnacentral:rRNA from 1 species